AUUGAACGCUGGCGGUAUGCUUAACACAUGCAAGUCGAACGGCAGCACGGGAAAGCUUGCUUUCCUGGUGGCGAGUGGCGGACGGGUGAGUAACGCGUAGGAAUCUGCCCAACAGCGGGGGGACAACUCCGGGAAACCGGAGCUAAUACCGCAUACGCCCUACGGGGGAAAGGCGGGGAUCUCUUCGGAGACCUGUCACUGUUGGAUGAGCCUGCGUUGGAUUAGCUUGUUGGUGGGGUAAAGGCCCACCAAGGCGACGAUCCAUAGCUGGUCUGAGAGGAUGAUCAGCCACACUGGGACUGAGACACGGCCCAGACUCCUACGGGAGGCAGCAGUGGGGAAUAUUGGACAAUGGGCGAAAGCCUGAUCCAGCAAUACCGCGUGUGUGAAGAAGCC
rnacentral:rRNA from 1 species